rnacentral:rRNA from 1 species
AGAGUGAACGCUGGCGGCAGGCCUAACACAUGCAAGUCGAACGGCAGCACAGCAGUAGCAAUACUGUGGGUGGCGAGUGGCGGACGGGUGAGGAAUACAUCGGAAUCUACCUUGUCGUGGGGGAUAACGUAGGGAAACUUACGCUAAUACCGCAUACGAACUAUGGUUGAAAGCGGCGGACCGCAAGGCGUCGCGCGAUUGGAUGAGCCGAUGUCCGAUUAGCUAGUUGGCGGGUAAAGGCCCACCAAGGCGACGAUCGGUAGCUGGUCUGAGAGGAUGAUCAGCCACACUGGAACUGAGACACGGUCCAGACUCCUAGGGAGCAGCAGUGGGGAAUAUUGGACAAGUGGGGCAACCCGUGAUCCAGCCAUCGCCGCGUGUGUGAAGAAGUCCGUUCGGUUAGUAAGCUACUUUGUGGAAGAAAGCACGUGGUUAA